rnacentral:lncRNA from 1 species
AAAAGUGAAAAAAAAAAUCAAGAAAAUUUAAGUCAUGCCACUGCCUGUGGGUGCAGAGUACAACAAGCAGCUGUGCUGGACAAAGACACAGUGAUGACGGGAGCUAAAGUGGUAGCCGCAGUCCCAGAGGAAAGACAGGCUCUACAGGAGGGCAAACUGGCUUCCUCUUCUGUCCCUGAAGCCCACGUCAGUACAUCGACACAGAAGCAGAGUGAUUACCAGAAUCCAGUGAAAUGGCUGAGCGCGGUGCUGUGCGCCUGUAACCUCAGCUACCGACGAAACGGAGACAGGAGGAGCAGCUGAACCCAAGAGUUUGGAGCCAAGCGGGACAACAUAGCAAGACCCCUCCUCAAUUCACUGUUUCAUAAAAUGCCCUUAGCAUAUUCCUAAAUUGCAAAGAGGCUGAACUAUCUAGCCGGCACCCUUUCCUAUCUUUCAGGUAAAUAAAUGGUCAGUGCUGUUUUCUGGAUAGUUAAUGCUACACAAAUGCUGUAUGGAUAAAAUAAGUAAGUAAUGAAACCCCUUUGUACGUGGAGAAAUAUCCAGCGCCUCAUUGCUUCAGUAAAGACUGUACGGCUUCUGGGUUUGCUGCGGUCCAACUCCCAGAGGGGGAGGGUGGCUGCUCUGAGAGGCUCACAGGAGCUACAUUUUCAUGUCCCUUGGAACUUUCCGGGGCAUCUGACUAUAAGCCUAUCCUGCGGUGCACACACUCAGACACACUCGCAAGCACACUUUCUGCUGAUUCCUGCUGCAGUUGUGUUCGGCGCUAUUCGUUUGUUCUAUUUUGUUUGUUUCUUGGUUUUUUGAGACAGGGUCUCACUAUGUAGUUGAGACUGACCUGAAACUCAGUAUGUAGUCCAGGCUGCUCUCGAACUCACAGCGAUCCUCCUGCCUCAGCCUCCUGAGUGCUGGGAUUACAGGCGUGAGCCACCAUGCCAGGCCUCGUUUGUUUAUUUCUGAAAGAAGUGAUCAGAAGGAAACAUCUACCCUGGACACGUGGUGAGCCGCCACCCCCGUCCUCAGGUUUCUCAAGUGUUUUGCAGUUUCCCAGGAUGGACAGGCUGGUAGAGGUGAGAUGUGAAUUCAGCCCCUGGAAACCACAGAUUUACCUGCAGAAGAGCCAGGUACGCACAGGCCUUCGCAGCUUCCUGCCUCGCCUCCUCCUCUCGAGUCCCGAAAGCUUGGAGGUGUGCACCCAGCGGCCAAUCCAGACCGGCAUGGUAAGGGACCCCGCAAUGGCUGUGCUGCUUCUUAGUGGAAAAGCGCGGAAGGAUAUGGAGCAACAGACUCUCACACCACUGAUGUGAGACAGCUGUUGAGGGGAUUAAUAACUUGCUCACCACUUCAAAGACCCAGUUUGACAUAUGCGUUUGGUGAGUGUGCAUGCGUGUGUGUUACUGGUUAUGUGACCCGAGAGCAAGCUACCACUGAGCUGCAUUUGUUCUGAGAAAGGGUCUUGCUAAGCUGUCCAGGAUGGUCUCAGACUUGCAAUCCUUCUGCUUCAGACUCUUGGGGAACUGGGAUUAUAGACAUGCACCACUCCACUUUGUCCUUCUUUCAAUGUAUGAAUUUUGGAAGAACACAAAUAUUCAGCCCAUGGUACUAAAAUAACAAAAGCAGAG